UACAUGACGUAUUCAUGAUUCCUGCAAAGUUCUACAGAAUUUGAGGUUGGCUGCAAAAGGGACAUAGUACCUUUAAGUAUAAUAAUCACCAGAACAUGUUUGCUCUUAGUGUACUAAAGGCUUCCCGUGUUGCUAUAUUGUCUUCAAAUUAUGAGCUUGGAAAAUUGCAUCUACAACUCUCGUUUAACCUCUCAUAAGAACAACUUGUUGAGUAGACACGUCAAAGCAUGUGUAUGCACUUGCAUAGCAUGAAUUCCAUCUUGUAUGUUAAUGACAUCCUUCAUAUUUUUGAUAUUCCUUAUAAGUUAACCUGUAAAAUGCCAUGUAAAUUCUUUUACUUUUAGGUUGAUUUUAUACAUGCUACAUUCUAGCUAUCAUAAGUUAUUUUUCCAGAUGAUUGGUUCACUCUUCCAUGUAUUUUGCCUCUAUUGGCAGGGAGGUGGGGCAGUAGAGGGAGCCAUAUACACCUCUUUUGGCAGGGAGGUGGGGCAGUAGAGGGAGCCAUAUACACCUCUAUUGGCAGGGAGGUGGGGCAGUAGAGGGAGCCAUAUACACCUCUAUUGGCAGGGAGGUGGGGCAGUAGAAGGAGCCAUAUACACCUCUAUUGGCAGGGAGGUGGGGCAGUAGAGGGAGCCAUAUACACCUCUAUUGGCAGGGAGGUGGGGCAGUAGAGGGAGCCAUAUACACCUCUAUUGGCAGGGAGGUGGGGCAGUAGAAGGAGCCAUAUACACCUCUAUUGGCAGGGAGGUGGGGCAGUAGAGGGAGCCAUAUACACCUCUUUUGGCAGGGAGGUGGGGCAGUAGAGGGAGCCAUAUACACCUCUAUUGGCAGGGAGGUGGGGCAGUAGAGGGAGCCAUAUACACCUCAAUUAUUGUACAAUUUUACAUUAAAAAAAAAUGUUUUGAGUAGUUCAGAUUAUGUGACAUGAUUUAAUUGUAUUGCAUGAAAGCUUGUUGCUAUGAGGACUGCCAUUGUUUAAGCUUCUAUAUUAAUGACAUGAUAGUUUGAUGUUUGUAAGUUUACUGCAUGUGUUGUAUUCUUGUCAUGAUUCCCAUACUUAAAACAGGGUAUUCUUUGAUAGUACGUGCCUUGGUUUGGUUUACUGAGUGAAAUGGGAUUUGUUGAUGAAUAAAGGGUCAUUUUAAGUGGAA